AGCGAACGCUGGCGGCAUGCUUAACACAUGCAAGUCGCACGGUUGGGGGCAACCCUGGCAGUGGCGGACGGGUGAGUAACGCGUAGGAAUCUAUCCUUGGGUGGGGGACAACCGUGGGAAACUACGGCUAAUACCGCAUGAUGCCUGAGGGCCAAAGACGAAAGUCGUUUGAGGAGGAGCCUGCGUCUGAUUAGGUAGUUGGUGGGGUAAAGGCCUACCAAGGCGACGAUCAGUAGCUGGUCUGAGAGGAUGAUCAGCCACAUUGGGACUGAGACACGGCCCAAACUCCUACGGGAGGCAGCAGUGGGGAAUAUUGGACAAUGGGCGCAAGCCUGAUCCAGCAAUGCCGCGUGGAUGAAGAAGGUCUUCGGAUUGUAAAGUCCUUUUGGCAGGGACGAUGAUGACGGUACCUGCAGAAUAAGCUCCGGCUAACUUCGUG
rnacentral:rRNA from 1 species